AAAAUCCGUCGAAUUUAAAAAUCGUGAGGGUUCAAGUCCCUYUAUCCCCA
rnacentral:tRNA from 1 species